GGAUUCGAAACCGCUAGCGUGCGCCCCGUUUUCAGGACACCCGCACAACAGCAAACACGAACCCCACAGGAACCUUCCAACGCAGAAAGGUGGCGUGAGCACAGGCACAACGACAGCGUGUCAUUAAGACUGUGGCGACGUAGUCCAUCGGCGUGGUCUUUCAGGGACAUCGGGUCUCUGUACGGAAUGCUGAAGUAGAAGGAUUCGACGAGCUGCCUCGAUGGCUGUAACAUCUCCUACUCGUUAUGAGGCACGGAGCAUCGUGGACAGCAAGAGCCCGUUCCUGUGGCGUGAUGAGUCCUUCUACGUGCGCUGCGAUGCGCUCGAAGCUUUCCUGAAGGCCGCCGCCGAAGUCCGUCCUUGCGACUGUGUACCCCAAUUCCCAGUGCUGCCGCCGCUGCAAGGACCUUGGCAGCUACCAGUCGCGCUUUCGGCUCUUUCAUUGCCUCCUGGGCAAUUGGGGUCAUCUUCUUCAUCCCUGUCGGCGCCCCGCAGUAGACAAAGUCACACUUACCUCCUCUGCGUCGACUCGGCGAUAGCGAUUGCGGAGACAGCACGACAAGACGUCGGCGACGACUGCCGAGCUCGCCGCACGCUUGCGUUGUCGUGGCCUAUAGCACAAAGUCGACGCCGAAGUAGACGUGGGGAAGCGAGUGGGUACACGCCGAGCCACCGGUGAUGUGCAACGUCUCUGCCGGAGCCCGAUGCUGCAGAGAGAAUACAGCUGGUGGAUAGCCGCCACGGGGACGGAUAGUCAAGAUAUUUUUGCCUCUUCGACCACGCUGAAACGCCUGCAAGCUGCGCGUUCCUGCUUAGGCGCUCGAUCUCUUUUCCUCUCCCGGCCUGCUUCUUCCCCUCGGUCUAUCUAUCUGCGGUCGUGGAUGCUUCCACUCGUCUAUGACUUCGCUGCCAUCCGACGUACGCUUCCUGCGGCUCAUCUCCCUUCCAUCGUACGCAGCUCUGUUCUCCCUGCCAGUCUUUGUCUUUUUGUGUAUGUAGCGCCCCUCGCCGCCACGGCUCCUCUCUUGCAUCCACCUGAGUGAUUGUGCGCGCGUGAGGUGGUGCCAGUCCGCCGCAUUCGUCAAAAUGCUUGAGGGCGUCCACUACGUUUUGGUACCCUUCUCCCCCGAAUUUCAACGACUCACGCUAGCGGGUGCCUCACGAUUGCGUUUCUGCGGCUUUUUGCGUAAGGCAUAGCCGACCUCAGCAGCACACAGUUACUGUUGAGGAGUGCAGCGAGGUAGGCCCUGGAGGAGCGACGCACAUUAUGGCUCCGUGAAACGCGGUUUCUUGUGUCUCUGUUACGUUGUGCCCUUGCUGGAAAGGCAUCAUCGCGAACGCGGCGCUCGCGGAGCGAAUUCGGCUGUUUACAUGAAGUAUGCCUCUUCGCCACUGCGCGCCAGCCACGCGGUGAUGGGCCACCCCUAGCCGCCGGAGCACAGCAGCAUUCGCGCAACAGGGACGUUCUGCCGCAAAGGCAGCGGAAUCUCCCACUUUCCGUCGCGUUCGAUGUGCGCAUUUCGUCACGUCGUUCGGACGCAGGAAGAGUUGCUCAGCAGCGCAUGAGAGUGGAAAGUACCCAAAGUGCGGCCCCCCGUUUCCCUCGACGUCUUUCCUCGAAUCUGAAUGUGAGAUGAAAACGCUUUAUUCGCCUCCGCCUCCCAUCCACGCCCCUCUCACGUGCCCGUCGGCUCCCUUGCCAAAGACUUCGCCGUCUCGCGGGCAUGGCAAGAACCGAUUGCCGGGUAGUCCUCUGUUUGCCGUUCUCCCUCUGAGCCCAAUGGGGAAUUCCUUUGCUACAUCGUAAAUUGGUUCCCUCCCUCCCGUUACUGUCCCUUGUCUUGGGUGAAUCGCCUCACAUCUCCCUCGGCCGCUCCCAUUUCUUGUCAAUGUGUCCCAAGGGUGGUCGCUCAUCUCUGCAAGGACGGCAUCGCACCUUUCGUCGCUCACCUCUUUUCCCUUAUCUGUAAAAGCUGAUGAUCUCGUAGCAGCAAUGAGUGCGACGCUGCUGCACGCGUGCUGAGCAGACACGAACACAAAAACACAUGACGACGGCGCAAACAACUGAGGAAUCUACUCGUAAUGUGUCGUCGCCCGCACACGGCGUGCAGCCAACGCUAUCUGCUCAUCGACUUUCUGGCGCCGCGGCGCCGCAACACAGCAUCUCUUCUCGCUCUCAAAAGCACCUGCCGAAAAUGUAUGACUGCUGCACAUCUUCGCCAGGCUACCCUGCGCUAACACUCCAUCUUAAAACCUCGAGCAUACACGAAAGGUGACCGGGAAACAACGAGGACUAUCGCCGACAGGAAGAGAUGAUCAGCACUUUCCAUUCACG
rnacentral:misc_RNA from 1 species